rnacentral:rRNA from 1 species
ACGGGUGAGUAAUACAUAAGUAACCUGCCCUAGACAGGGGGAUAACUAUUGGAAACGAUAGCUAAGACCGCAUAGGUACGGACACUGCAUGGUGACCGUAUUAAAAGUGCCUCAAAGCACUGGUAGAGGAUGGACUUAUGGCGCAUUAGCUGGUUGGCGGGGUAACGGCCCACCAAGGCGACGAUGCGUAGCCGACCUGAGAGGGUGACCGGCCACACUGGGACUGAGACACGGCCCAGACUCCUACGGGAGGCAGCAGUAGGGAAUUUUCGGCAAUGGGGGAAACCCUGACCGAGCAACGCCGCGUGAAGGAAGAAGGUUUUCGGAUUGUAAACUUCUGUUAUAAAGGAAGAACGGCGGCUACAGGAAAUGGUAGCCGAGUGACGGUACUUUAUUAGAAAGCCACGGCUAACUACGUGCCAGCAGCCGCGGUAAUACGUAGGUGGCAAGCGUUAUCCGGAAUUAUUGGGCGUAAAGAGGGAGCAGGCGGCAGCAAGGGUCUGUGGUGAAAGCCUGAAGCUUAACUUCAGUAAGCCAUAGAAACCAGGCAGCUAGAGUGCAGGAGAGGAUCGUGGAAUUCCAUGUGUAGCGGUGAAAUGCGUAGAUAUAUGGAGGAACACCAGUGGCGAAGGCGACGAUCUGGCCUGCAACUGACGCUCAGUCCCGAAAGCGUGGGGAGCAAAUAGGAUUAGAUACCCUAGUAGUCCACGCCGUAAACGAUGAGUACUAAGUGUUGGAUGUCAAAGUUCAGUGCUGCAGUUAACGCAAUAAGUACUCCGCCUGAGUAGUACGUUCGCAAGAAUGAAACUCAAAGGAAUUGACGGGGGCCCGCACAAGCGG